CAUGCAAGUCGAGGGGCAGCAUGGUCUUAGCUUGCUAAGGCCGAUGGCGACCGGCGCACGGGUGAGUAACACGUAUCCAACCUGCCGUCUACUCUUGGACAGCCUUCUGAAAGGAAGAUUAAUACAAGAUGGCAUCAUGAGUCCGCAUGUUCACAUGAUUAAAGGUAUUCCGGUAGACGAUGGGGAUGCGUUCCAUUAGAUAGUAGGCGGGGUAACGGCCCACCUAGUCUUCGAUGGAUAGGGGUUCUGAGAGGAAGGUCCCCCACAUUGGAACUGAGACACGGUCCAAACUCCUACGGGAGGCAGCAGUGAGGAAUAUUGGUCAAUGGGCGCAGGCCUGAACCAGCCAAGUAGCGUGAAGGAUGACUGCCCUAUGGGUUGUAAACUUCUUUUAUAAAGGAAUAAAGUCGGGUAUGUAUACCCGUUUGCAUGUACUUUAUGAAUAAGGAUCGGCUAACUCCGUGCCAGCAGCCGCGGUAAUACGGAGGAUCCGAGCGUUAUCCGGAUUUAUUGGGUUUAAAGGGAGCGUAGAUGGAUGUUUAAGUCAGUUGUGAAAGUUUGCGGCUCAACCGUAAAAUUGCAGUUGAUACUGGAUAUCUUGAGUGCAGUUGAGGCAGGCGGAAUUCGUGGUGUAGCGGUGAAAUGCUUAGAUAUCACGAAGAACUCCGAUUGCGAAGGCAGCCUGCUAAGCUGCAACUGACAUUGAGGCUCGAAAGUGUGGGUAUCAAACAGGAUUAGAUACCCUGGUAGUCCACACGGUAAACGAUGAAUACUCGCUGUUUGCGAUAUACGGCAAGCGGCCAAGCGAAAGCAUUAAGUAUUCCACCUGGGG
rnacentral:rRNA from 1 species